GGCUCAGGAUGAACGCUAGCUACAGGCUUAACACAUGCAAGUCGCGGGGCAGCAUGUCGGUUGCUUGCAACCGAUGAUGGCGACCGGCGCACGGGUGAGUAACGCGUAUCCAACCUGCCCUUCACCACGGAAUAAUCCAGUGAAAAUUGGUCUAAUACCGUAUGAGGUCAUACGAUGGCAUCAGAAUAUGACGAAAGGUUUUGGCGGUGAAGGAUGGGGAUGCGUCUGAUUAGCUUGUUGGUGAGGUAACGGCUCACCAAGGCGACGAUCAGUAGGGGUUCUGAGAGGAAGGUCCCCCACAUUGGAACUGAGACACGGUCCAAACUCCUACGGGAGGCAGCAGUGAGGAAUAUUGGUCAAUGGGCGCAAGCCUGAACCAGCCAAGUAGCGUGAGGGAAGACUGCCCUACGGGUUGUAAACCUCUUUGUUUGGGAAUAAAGUGCGGGACGCGUCCCGCAUUGCAUGUACCAUUUGAAUAAGGACCGGCUAAUUCCGUG
rnacentral:rRNA from 1 species